rnacentral:lncRNA from 1 species
CUGGGUGAAUGGUUAAAUGAAUUAUGGUUCAUCAGACCAUAGACUACUACUCGGAAGUAAAAAGGAACACACUGUUGAUACAUGUGACAACUUGGAUGGAUCUCAAAAGGAUAAUGUUGGGUUAAAAAAAAAAAAAAGGCAGUUUCAAAAGGAUGCUCACUGCAUGAUCUGAAAUUAUGGAGAUGGAGAAUGGAUAAGUGGCUGCCAGGGGUUUUGAUGGUGGGGAAGGAUGGGUGUGGCUGGAAAGGAUUAACACCAGUGUCUUGUGAUGAUGGCAGAGUUUUUUGUUUUUGCUUUUUUUCCCAAGGCCUCAAAUAUGCUAGGCAAGUGUUUUUCCUCUAAGUUAUAGUCCCAACCUGAAUAUUUUUAAUAAGUUUUAUGGACAUAUAAUUCACUUACACGGCUGAGUACCUUGAUUGUAGCAGUGAUUGUGCAAGGUUAUGUAUGUGAUAAAAUUACACAGAGCCAUAUCCACAUGCAAAGAUAUGCACGUAUAAUGGAUAAAAUCUGAGCAUGUUCUGGGGAUUACAGGGUGAAUUUCUUGGCUUUGCUACUGUGCUACAGUUGUGUGAGAUGUUCACACUAGGGGGAGGUAGGGGAAAAAUUCAUGGGCCUUCCCUAUAUACAUCUUUGCAACCCCCUGUGAGCUUAUAAUUACUUAAAAACAAAAAAGGGGGCUGGGGAUUUAGCUCAGUGGUUUCGCCGUCUGCUGUGCAAGCGCAAGGACCCAAGUUUGAUCCCCGGUACCAAAAAAAAAAAAAAGGGGGGGGGGCUGGAGAUGUCGCUCAGCAGCACAGUGCCUGCCUGACAAGUACAAGGUCCUGAGUUCAAUUUCCGGUGCCAGAAAAAAAGGAAUUUCUUUUCUUAGAGAAAGGAUUUUUAAAAAUCCUUCAUUCAGAAUAGGACUCCAUCACUCUAUUCUCUUAGCCUGCUUUCUUUUUGUCCAUAGCCUAUAUCUCUAGUAGACUUUAUAUAAUGUAUAAGUAUCAUAGCUUAUAUCUGGAUGUCCCCCCAAAGCCUCAUGUGUUCAUAGGUGGGGCAUUUGGGAAGUGACUAGGUCAUGGGGGCUGACACUCAGUCCACUGAUGAUGUGAUGUUAGGGGUGAAGCCUGCUCAGAGGCUGGUCUGGGGUACAUGGCCUGGAGGGUCUGUCGUCCUCCCUCUUCUCUUGAUUUCUCUCUGCUUCCUGCUGCUGUACUAUGUGCUCUUUCUCCUCUGGGAUGCCCCUCUGCCAUGCCACCCUGCCUUGGAGCCAGUGGACUAUGGACUGAAACAUCUACAACUGUGAGUCAAAAUAAACCCUUCCUCCUUUAACUAGUGGGUGUUAGGUAUUUUGUCCCAUUAAUGAGGAAAGUAACCAACAAUAACAUAUAACAUAUAUUUGUAUAUAUCUGUCUCCACUAGUUGA